rnacentral:rRNA from 1 species
ACCCGCUGAACUUAAGCAUAUCAAUAAGCGGAGGAAAAGAAACCAACAGGGAUUGCCCUAGUAACGGCGAGUGAAGCGGCAACAGCUCAAAUUUGAAAUCUGGCUCUUUUAGGGUCCGAGUUGUAAUUUGCAGAGGGCGCUUUGGCGUUGGCAGCGGUCCAAGUUCUUUGGAACAGGACGUCACAGAGGGUGAGAAUCCCGUACGUGGUCGCUAUCCUUCGCCGUGUAAAGCCCCUUCGACGAGUCGAGUUGUUUGGGAAUGCAGCUCUAAAUGGGAGGUAAAUUUCUUCUAAAGCUAAAUACUGGCCAGAGACCGAUAGCGCACAAGUAGAGUGAUCGAAAGAUGAAAAGCACUUUGGAAAGAGAGCCAAAUAGCACGUGAAAUUGUUGAAAGGGAAGCGCUUGCAGCCAGACUUGCCUGUAGUUGCUUAUCUGGACUUUUGUCCGGUGCACUCUUCUGCGGGCAGGCCAGCAUCAGUUUGGGCGGUUGGAUAAAGGUCUCUGUCAUGUACCUCCUUUCGGGGAGGCCUUAUAGGGGAGACGACAUGCAACCAGCCUGGACUGAGGUCCGCGCAUCUGCUAGGAUGCUGGCGUAAUGGCUGU